rnacentral:rRNA from 1 species
AGCUUGCUUUUUAAGCUUAGUGGCAAACGGGUGAGUAACGCGUGAGUAACCUGCCCUGGAGUGGGGGACAACAGUUGGAAACGACUGCUAAUACCGCAUAAGCCCACGGAUUCGCAUGGAUCUGCGGGAAAAGGAUUUAUUCGCUUCAGGAUGGACUCGCGUCCAAUUAGCUAGUUGGUGAGGUAACGGCCCACCAAGGCGACGAUUGGUAGCCGGACUGAGAGGUUGAACGGCCACAUUGGGACUGAGACACGGCCCAGACUCCUACGGGAGGCAGCAGUGGGGGAUAUUGCACAAUGGGGGAAACCCUGAUGCAGCGACGCCGCGUGGAGGAAGAAGGUUUUCGGAUUGUAAACUCCUGUCGUUAGGGACGAUAAUGACGGUACCUAACAAGAAAGCACCGGCUAACUACGUGCCAGCAGCCGCGGUAAAACGUAGGGUGCAAGCGUUGUCCGGAAUUACUGGGUGUAAAGGGAGCGCAGGCGGACCGGCAAGUUGGAAGUGAAAACUAUGGGCUCAACCCAUAAAUUGCUUU